rnacentral:rRNA from 1 species
AACGAACGCUGGCGGCGUGCCUAACACAUGCAAGUCGUGCGAGAAAGUUCCUUCGGGAGCGAGUAAAGCGGCGCACGGGUGAGUAACACGUAGGUAACCUGCCCCCCAGUCUGGAACAACUAGAGGAAACUCUAGCUAAUGCCGGAUGAGACCACGAUCCCUUCGGGGGUUGCGGCCAAAGAUGGCCUCUACUUGUAAGCUAUCGCUGAGGGAUGGGCCUGCGGGCCAUUAGCUUGUUGGUGAGGUAACGGCUCACCAAGGCUGUGAUGGCUAGCUGGUCUGAGAGGAUGACCAGCCACACUGGGACUGAGACACGGCCCAGACUCCUACGGGAGGCAGCAGUGGGGAAUAUUGCGCAAUGGGCGAAAGCCUGACGCAGCGACGCCGCGUGGGUGAUGAGGGCC